rnacentral:rRNA from 1 species
UAGGGAAUCUUCGGCAAUGGACGGAANUNUGGACCGAGCAACGCCACGUGAGUGAAGAAGGUUUUCGGAUCGUAAAGCUCUGUUGUAAGAGAAGAACGAGUGUGAGAGUGGAAAGUUCACACUGUGACGGUAUCUUACCAGAAAGGGACGGCUAACUACGUGCCAGCAGCCGCGGUAAUACGUAGGUCCCGAGCGUUGUCCGGAUUUAUUGGGCGUAAAGCGAGCGCAGGCGGUUAGAUAAGUCUGAAGUUAAAGGCUGUGGCUUAACCAUAGUACGCUUUGGAAACUGUUUAACUUGAGUGCAAGAGGGGAGAGUGGAAUUCCAUGUGUAGCGGUGAAAUGCGUAGAUAUAUGGAGGAACACCGGUGGCGAAAGCGGCUCUCUGGCUUGUAACUGACGCUGAGGCUCGAAAGCGUGGGGAGCAAACAGGAUUAGAUACCCUGGUAGUCCACGCCGUAAACGAUGAGUGCUAGGUGUUAGACCCUUUCCGGGGUUUAGUGCCGCAGCUAACGCAUUAAGCACUCCGCCUGGGGAGUACGACCGCAAGNUUG